rnacentral:rRNA from 1 species
AUAGCGUAUAUUAAAGUUGUUGUGGUUAAAACGCCCGUAGUUGAUUUUUCGACUUUGGAGCGUGGUAUCUCGAAAGAGUUUUAACUGCGUCUGCCAAGUCUGAUCUUCUUGUUUUCUAUGGAUGCUCUUUAUUGAGUGUCUUUAGUGACUUGAACGUUUACUUUGAAAAAAUUAGAGUGCUUAAAGCAAGCUUCAUCGCUUGAAUAAAGUGCAUGGGAUAAUGGAAUAGGACUUUAGUCUUAUUUUGUUGGUUUUAGAGAUUAAAGUAAUGAUUAAGAGGAAUAGACGGGGGCAUUUGUAUUGUUGCGUUAGAGGUGAAAUUCUUGGAUCGCAGCAAGACAAACAACUG